rnacentral:lncRNA from 1 species
CAAGGACAUGUGCCAUUUACUAUGCAUUAUGCCAAAGCACAUUGUUAUAUAUUUAUAGUUUGGUUAGAUACAGUUUAAUAGCGAAAUGGGUUGUUCGAGUCCAGAUUAUCUUUAACUUUCAGUAUUAUGGUAUGAGUGAGUGUGGACGCACCAUGUGUAUAAUAUUAGUGUGUUAUUAGGUUAUGGCAGUGCGUUCAAUGUGAACACAACUUCUUAUCAGAGUUCUUAAUCCCCUCUCCCCCAAGCUUGACCAUCCACUGCAAUGCAUUACACGCACACAGUGUAGAUAGAGUAUAUGCUAUACCCAAAUGCUAUGUUGAGAAGUGUUAGAGAUAGAAUGUGUUUGCUUUUUGACCCAUGCUGGAAAAUGGUAUCUUAGGCAGGAAUGAAAGUUUGGUAGAGUCAGCAAAAUGAGAAGACAAAGGAUUUGAGUUGGGGAAUACACUUGUUGAGAAACACAUGGUCAAAUUGUCUAAUAGUUAGCUAGUGAUGGAUGGGUUGAUGAAAUAUUGUAGUUGAAGACUUGCAUAAUCACUGUCGGGAAUUCAUUGUAUUAUAUUGUUAGGAAUGAUAAUUCAGGUUAAAUGUGAUUGGGAAUUACUCUCUCUCUCUCUCUCUCUCUCUCUCUCUAUAUAUAUAUAUAUAUUAUCUCUCUCUCUCUCUCUCCCCCCCUCUCUCUUUAUAUCCUCUCCCUCUCUUUCUCUCUUUCUCUCUCUCUCUCUCUCUCUCUGUAAGGUUCACCCUUCCUCUUUCACUCUCACUUUGCUUUGUAUAUAACCAUGAAAUGAAUAUACAUGUAUUUAGUAAAACUAUUGGUUGUUGAUAUAGAUUAGAAUAUGAACUAUGUAUGUGUAGAUGAGAUUACAGUUAGAGGAAAUCGUAAUGGGUUGUAAGUUUGCUAAAGCUAUAUAAUUAGUGCAGACUGCAGACUAAGACUAUUUGCCAGUUUUGUGAAUAUUGUAAGGAGUUUAGGAUAUAAGUUGUUGAAGAUGUAUCUUUUCAAGCUCAGUAGUCUCGCUGAAAAAGAUAGUAUUAGAUCAAAGUGAUGCAGAUGACUAUUGGAAAAUACAUGAGCUAUAGUUAAGGAAGAGUUAUAAGUUUAUUCAGUAUUAAUGUGAAGUCCUGAGACAAGAAGUAACUUGUGAAUUUAGGGAUUAGUGAAGGCUGAGAGUAGAAUUACAUUCUAAGGGUCCAUGUGCACAAGGGAUCCUCAGUCUUGGAGCGUAAAGAGUAGAAAGCUUAUUAGGCAAUAGUAUAGGGAUGAUUAUGCCAACAUUCUUGUAUUAGGUCUAUAUAUGUGAUUUCUUGAAAGAGACGCUAAGUGAAGAGUUAUAUGAUUAGAAGCUAAAGUAGAUUGACUGAUACCGCAAUGUUAUAGACAUUUGAUAAGGGUUAAGUUAUUUAUUAGUAGCCAAGUUAUGAUUAUGAGAUCGAUGAAGAGUUGCACUUUUACAUAAAGCAUGGAAGUAAGGAUAGUUUCGUUUAGAGAUAGUAAAGUAAUGAAACUAACCAGAUGAUGUUCUUAGUGAUAUAGUAAGAGAACACGGAGAGCUAAUGAAUUCAAUGUAUGCGAACAGGUAGAUUUAUUUGUGUUUAAUACUUGAAGAGUAUUGUUAAUGUUAUGCCAUUUGAUCGUAUAUAUGUUAUUGUAAGAAAAGACUGUUAUUGUAGAAGAUUAAGUAAUAAAGACUUUGUUUUGCCAUGCAUCCUAGUCAACACUUUUCUUAUUUUGUCUUCCUUUAAUAGGUAUGCCCCCCUCCCUCGGGGUGUGGGCGCUACAAAUUUGGCGACCUUGCCAGGACGGCCAUCGUCGAAGAGACACGAGGACGAUGUGCUGUCCUAUGACACGAACAGUUGGAUCAAUCGACAGAGAAGAGCAGCGAGCAAACGAUACAGGACCAGAAGACAGAGUGACGGAGAGAACCUGAUUUGACAAUGACAUUGGCUCAGCAUCAGAGAGAAUGGGACAAGCUGCAGAGAGGAGAAAAGGCUACUACGAGCGUGCAGUAUGCAGCAGGGUGCUACAGCAAGGAGAUAUGGUUCUGGUGCGAAGUCUGGCCCCUCCAGAUGGCGGAGCAGUGAGUGGAGUCAAGGAUGUCCAGGGGUUCUCCAAGCCGCCACCCUCAACAGCCCAGCCACGGCCUGCACCGUUCCAGUACCGGUAUGACCCACCAUUCUACCUCCCCAUCAAAGGCCAUUACAGAUGCAGACGCAGUAGCCCACCAGCAACCAACCCACUACCAACGUCAUAUGACAGAAGAACAGCUUCAAUUUUCCUAGCGAGCGAGUCAAUCAUUGAGGAAUGCCUCAAACAGAUUCUUUUUUUUUACAGUAGAUGCAUCGAUGUAUAGAAUCAUGUGUGUUGUUUAGUAAACCUGAUAUAGGAGUGACGCGAAGAAUUAGGAUGAAGCAAGUUGUUAAUCAUUUCAGGAAUGGUGGUGUAAUAUAAAGAAGCAAGCGAAUAAAGAAACAAGCGAUGACACGCGAUUGUGAUCUGUUGAUCUAAGUGAUAAAGUCUUUGGAAUGACUCGAGACGUUCCCAAGAAACCCUCACCGUAUGUCAGAUACGUCCAUGGAAUGGAUUUUGCUUGUGAUGUUUAUGUUUCGCAAAGUUGAUUUGUAUGGAAAGGAAAAGCCACAUAGUUAUGAUAUGAUUUUAUGAUAGGUAAUGCUGAGACUUCGAGAGCCUAUUAGGUCGCUAAACCGAUUCGCAACACGUGGAUGAACUCGAUGUGCAACAUGUAUUUCACAGAGGAAUUGGAGCACGAUGAUUUGUGAGCGUAGCAUUGACAUGGACUAUAAACAAUCAUGGACUUAGUUGAUACAUUACAUCUGUACUUCAUGGCGACAUUGAACGAGAACUAUAUGAACGUUAAAAAUGUUAUACUAUAAUCAUGAAUUAUUGAUGUAAAUGUUUGGAAGUUGAAAUGUCCAGGAGACAUUUAUUUUUGGAGGGGAAGGUGUGGAGCCCCACAGAAUACCCCCCCCCCCCUAUUUUUUGUAUAUCUUUGACUAUGUAUGUAUGACACAAGUAUAUUUCUAGCCCCCAUAUAGUCCCUCCUCUUAGUUAAUUAGGUACCCCCUCCUGCGAGAGUGGCCUCACCCACAACUAACCUAAACACACCAGCUGGGAUACCAGGAGUGGCUUCUCACUUUGUUUUUGCCACGCAUCUCAGUCAACACCUUUCUUAUUUUGUCUUCCUUUAAUAGGUAAGAAAGAAUCUUAUAUUAUUCAAUUGUGUUAUAUUCUUGUUGUUCAUAAUAUGUGUAUUUCUAAACUAUUAGCUUCACUAUUCACAUAUCUUGUAUUACUGUGUAAAAAGAGAUAUUAAUGAUCUUUGCCAA